rnacentral:lncRNA from 1 species
AGGUGGGGGCGCCGGCGGCGACGCCGCUCUGUCUUCGCCGCUCUCUGGAAAGAGAAAGAAAAAAAAGAACGAGAGAAAAAAGAGAAAAGAAAAAGGUAUAAGGGCACCUCCGCUUCGUCUUCGCCACUCUCUGGAAAGAAAAAGAAAAAAAAAACGAGAGAAAAAAAAAGGAGAGAGAAAGAGGAAAGAGAAAAAGGUAUAAGGGUAUUUUGGUCAGUUUGCUGAAAAAGCGGACCGAAUCUGCAAAAGCCAAAAAGAUGACCCGAUUUUGCAAAAGCCCAAAAUAAGUGGAUUUUUUAUGCAAAUUGGCCAAUUUUUUAAAAUAAUUUAAUUUUUUUUAAUUUUUAUUCAAAUAAUUUAAAAAAUUAAAUUUUAUUUAAAUAUUAUUUAAAUUUAAAUUUAAAUUUUUAAAAUUUUUAUACAAAUAAUUGUUUAAGAUUUGUAAUGUUUUUAAAAUUUUGUUCAAAUAUUUU